UACGUAGGGCGCAAGCGUUAUCCGGAAUUACUGGGCGUAAAGCGUGCGCAGGCGGUGAUGUAAGACAGAUGUGAAAUCCCCGGGCUCAACCUGGGAACUGCAUUUGUGACUGCAUCGCUGGAGUGCGGCAGAGGGGGAUGGAAUUCCGCGUGUAGCAGUGAAAUGCGUAGAUAUGCGGAGGAACACCGAUGGCGAAGGCAAUCCCCUGGGCCUGCACUGACGCUCAUGCACGAAAGCGUGGGGAGCAAACAGG
rnacentral:rRNA from 1 species